rnacentral:rRNA from 1 species
GGAUGAAUAUUGGUCAAUGGGCGAGAGCCUGAACCAGCCAAGUCGCGUGAGGGAAGACGGUCCUACGGAUUGUAAACCUCUUUUGUCGGGGAGCAAUAAAGCGUACGCGUACGCCGAUGCGAGUACCCGAAGAAAAAGCAUCGGCUAACUCCGUGCCAGCAGCCGCGGUAAUACGGAGGAUGCGAGCGUUAUCCGGAUUUAUUGGGUUUAAAGGGUGCGCAGGCGGAAAGUGCAAGUCAGCGGUCAAACGACGGGGCUCAACCCCGUCUCGCCGUUGAAACUGUCUUUCUAGAGUGAGCGAGAAGUAUGCGGAAUGCGUGGUGUAGCGGUGAAAUGCAUAGAUAUCACGCAGAACUCCGAUUGCGAAGGCAGCAUACCGGCGCUCAACUGACGCUCAUGCACGAAAGCGUGGGUAUCGAACAGGAUUAGAUACC